UGCACACAAAAAAGUUACGGGACACUGAACUGUAUGCUGUUUGUGGAAAAUGCUCUAUCCAGUUACCUCUUGACCCCUAUGAGGACAAAAGCAAUGAGACACACAAACUUUGUGAGUUAUAGCUGUUUGUGCACUGUGAAACGGAAGUUUCCACCCCAGUAAUUCCCGAAUGGAGGGAAAAAAGGAAAAAGUGUUUGUGUAAUUUUUCUUCUUUAUGAGUUACAAAGUCAUACACACAUGCAUCAAAUGAAAUAGCUUUUCACUGGCACUCAAUAAUGGACACAAAAUCCUUCUUGCGGCUGCUGUGGGAUUGAUGUUGAACUCGCACUGGGACAGAUGUCUUUGUCUGGUUUUGGGUGAAUAUAUCUAUUGUUUCCCAUGCUGUCACAUUUUUGCUUUUUCCACCUUUUUUUUCUUUUUGGGCAGUGGAGUGUUAAACGGCCCCGGCAAGAGUGGCUCCCCCCACACACACUCACUGCCAGCCGAACCAAAUUGUACUUUAACUCCAGGAAAGAUGAAAUGCUGCCUCUCAUGAGGGUUGCUGUCUAUCCGGCAUCUCGCCGACAUUUAUGGAAGAAGAACUCGCCGUUGCAUGGCUUCCGCUCGACUGACAAGCUCUGAAAAAAGCAAAGACAUGAAAGACAUGAAUGAUACCUUAAAUCAUGUGGCUUGUUGAAGACAGGUAUGUUAUUUCUUUUUAAAGGAAUUACACAUCAUUAUUCAUUCAUUUAAAACCAAAAAUGUGUACCACAUAAAUAUAAUGUAUAUGGCAGAUGAUAAAACUAAAAUAUAUAUAUAUUUUUUCUUUUCUGGUAUAAAACUUUUUUGUUUUCCAUUUUAUUUUAUUGUUUUUUUUUUUUUAAUUUUAUGGCUUUAGGCUUUUUAGGUCUUUAUUAGAUGUGGGGUGCGAGGUAAUGGGAACACAGCCUAUGUAUUUUUAUUUUAUUUUAUUUUUGGUCUUUAUUUAACAUUUAUAUUUGUAUUUAUUUGUUUGUUUUUAUUAUUUUGUCUGUCUUGGAUAUUUUUAUACAAUUUUAUUAAUUUAUUUUAUUAUUAUUUUUUUUUAACAUGGAGGAAGUGGGAUUGUAUGACAGGCUUUGAUUUUAUUUUAUUUUAUUUUUGGUCUUUAGUCAGUAUUUUAUUGUGUUAUUUUAUUUUAUUUUAUUAUUUUGUCUGUGUUGGACAUAAUUUGAUUAGAUUUUUUUUAUAAAGAGUGAAGUGAGUUUAUUUUAUUUUAUUUUAUUUUAUUUUAUUUUAUUUUAUUUUAUUUUAUUUUAUUUUAUUUUAUUUUAUUAUUUUAUUUUAUUUUAUUUUAUUUUAUUUUAUUUUAGUUGCAGUGGGACGGGAUACAUGACACAUACUAUUUAAUUUAGACCUAAAUGACAACUUAUUUUACUCAGUUUUUCCCUCUCAGUCCAGUCUCUCCGAAUAAUACUUGAGAGGAUGAUCAUAACGAUCUCAUUAGGAACAUAUUGUUAAUAAGAGUCUCUGUCAUUAUCUCUUCAUCUGCAUUCGGGCCUGAUCAUUUCCACAUCUGUUAAUGGUGUCAUAUCGUUCUUUUGUUUGAUCGUUAUCUUGCCCGUGUCUCUGAAGAGGACGUGUGUAGGCCUGCAGUGCACCACUGAGCAUGCU
ensembl:lncRNA